rnacentral:lncRNA from 10 species
AUUAUAGGCGUGAGCCACCAUGCCUGGCCAGAGAGCAUUUUAGUAAGGAAAGAGGGCAAAAGACAGUGGUCCAGAACUCCUAACAUGGAGCUGAGCAUGUCGGUUAGGAUCCAGAGAACAGCCACGAAGCAGGAUUGACCCAAGUAUGGAAGCUAGAUAAAAAGUUUUAUUGGCCUCAGGCUGAAGUUUGCAAUUAUAUUCCAAAUACCCAAAGUGGGUAUAUUAUUGACGUUGUCCUGAGAGAGGGACAGACAGUUUGACUGUGUUGCUUUCUUUGGAGUCAGUUUUGGGGCUGUUAAGGAUUACCUGGAAACAUUAGAUGAAGCUGGGGCUGGACACUUCUUCUCAGGACAGAAGCACAUUCAUCUAAAUGGAAAUCUAAGGUUGGGAGGAUGCGAAGUGCCAUUUCAUCGUGUCCUAUCCGGAAUGCAUACUCUCAGCAUAACAGCACCAGUGCCAUACCUAGAGAGGCCUUUCCGAGUUACCCUAACACAAAAAGGUGUUUCCAGUCAUUCUCACAUCAGCCUUUUAGUUAUUUUUUCAGUACUUAUCACAACUGGGGAUUGUUGUCUUGUUGGACUGUUUGUCUGUUCCUCUAACUGGACUGUAAGCUUUAGGAGGGCAGAACUGUGUUUAUCUUGUUCACCUGUUUGUUCCCAGCACCUAGUACCCUG